rnacentral:rRNA from 1 species
CCACCCGAAAGGGUGGCUAAUACCGCAUAAGACCUGAGGGUGAAAGCCGGGGACCGCAAGGCCUGGCGCGAACGGAGCGGCCGAUGACUGAUUAGCUGGUUGGCGGGGUAAAGGCCCACCAAGGCGACGAUCAGUAGCUGGUCUGAGAGGACGACCAGCCACACUGGAACUGAGACACGGUCCAGACUCCUACGGGAGGCAGCAGUGGGGAAUUUUGGACAAUGGGGGCAACCCUGAUCCAGCCAUGCCGCGUGCGGGAAGAAGGCCUUCGGGUUGUAAACCGCUUUUGUCAGGGACGAAAAGGUGCGGGUUAAGAGCUAGCACUGAUGACGGUACCUGAAGAAUAAGCACCGGCUAACUACGUGCCAGCAGCCGCGGUAAUACGUAGGGUGCGAGCGUUAAUCG